CACUAAGAAGCUUUUAUAGCAUCAGCCUUUUAAGCCGAAGAAGAAAACACUUUCCUUAGUGA
rnacentral:tRNA from 1 species